UACGUAGGCAGCGAGCGUUGUUCGGAAUUACUGGGCGUAAAGAGUGUGUAGGCGGUGCUCUAAGUUCGGUGUGAAAUCUCCUGCUUAACUGGGAGGGUGCGCCGGAAACUGGAGUGCUCGAGCGUGGGAGAGGAAAGCGGAAUUCUUGGUGUAGCGGUGAAAUGCGUAGAGUAUCAAGAGGAACACCUGAGGUGAAGACGGGUUGCUGGGCUGACACUGACGCUGAGGCGCGAAAGCCAGGGGAGCAAACGGG
rnacentral:rRNA from 1 species